UAUAUUGGAGAGGAAGAGGGAAAGCGGCGUGCCGCUCUUCUGUGUGCCGCGGCAGAGGAGAUCGUCGCAGCCCGAAAAUAAUGACGAGAUGAUCGCGAGCCUCCCGGUGAACGGCGGGGGCGGAAGCGGUGGGCCGGUGAACCGCGUGGGGAGAGGCCUGGCCCUUCACAGGUCCAACUCCAGCCUGGAGCUGCCCCACAGUCCGGACCCCAACACCAGGAUUCCGGAAACCCCGCUUCGCAGAGAAUAUGGAUCCCACGGAAGCAUAGACAUCGUGGCGCAGUCGGCCUCGGUGGGCGAGAACUUCUUCGCCAUGCUGCAGGAUUUCCGCUCGCCGGACCAGCGAGGACCAACGUCCGCAGACUUUCUGAGACGGGUCCAGGACCAGUCCCCGGACCCGGACGAGGUCUGCGGACCCACCGGGUCCAGCCCCAAGCUGCGUCUUAAGCUGAAUCGGCUCUGGGGUGGGAAGCCCCCCCGGGGGGUCGAGGAGACCUGCUCCAGCCCGGUCGUCUCGGCGGACGUCGAGGAGCGACACCGACGACGCGCCUUCGCCCACUACGACUGUCAAUCGCUGACAGCCAAUUUGGGAUACGCCGCGAAACUUCGAGGAGUGCUCCUGGCGAGAAGAAGGAACACCGCGACGGGGGCCUCGGCGGCGAGUUCCUUGAGAGCCUCCACCCCGGACGAGGCCCCCGAAGAGGAUGCUGGAGACGGGAAAGGCAACGAGCUCCUGGAGUCGUGUCCCUUCUUUCGAAACGAGACCGGCGGGGAAGGCGAGAGGGAAGUGGGGCUGACGAGACGGGCCAACACCAACGGCGUGCACCGACCUCCCCUGGCCUAUGGGGUCUCGGUCCUGGAGCCACCACCUGGGGAGACCCUCUGGAAGCACACGUGUCCCCUCCAGAAGCGACCUCUGCCGGUCGAGAGCGUCGACGAGGGAGCCCACUACUACCGGAGGUACUUCCUCGGUCGGGAGCACCAGAACUGGUUCGGCAUGGACGAGCAACUGGGCCCCGUGGCCAUCAGCAUCCGCAAGGAUGCAAAUCAGUAUCGAAUAAUCGUCCGGACCUCGGAAUUGCUUACCCUGAGGGGCUCCGUCCCCGAAGAGGCUUUAGGUAUAAGACCCCAGGGUAGACCACCGACGAGGGAGCUCCUCGAGCUGGUGGCACCGGAAGUCCAGCUCGGCUGCCUGAGACUCGGCACCCAGGCCGCCGAGGAGGCCGUCGCCAGACUCGACGAGCAAGGGCUCUCCAACAAGUACAAAGUCGGGGUGUUGUACUGCAGAUCCGGCCAGAGGACCGAGGAGGAGAUGUACAAUAACCAGCACGCCGGACCGGCGUUUCUAGAGUUCUUAGACACCAUUGGCCAAAGAAUAAGACUGCGAGGUUUCGAGGGUUACAAGGCUGGCUUGGACACGAGGACCGACUCCACGGGUACUCAUGCCGUUGCAGCGACUCACAGAGGUGCCGACGUCACUUUCCACGUGUCCACCAUGUUGCCCUUUACUCCAAACAAUAGGCAGCAAUUACUUAGGAAGAGGCACAUCGGGAACGACAUCGUCACAAUAGUCUUUCAGGAACCCGGGGCACUGCCUUUUAGUCCUCGCAGGAUACGCUCCCAAUUCCAGCACGUCUUCGUAAUCGUUAAGGCUAUCAAUCCUUGCACGGAAAAUACGCAGUACAGCGUAGCCGUAUCCAGGAGCAAGGAAGUUCCGAUCUUCGGCCCGCCCGUUCCUCCUGGAGCCACGUUCUCCAAGGGGAAGGCUUUCGCCGACUUCAUCCUGGCAAAAGUAAUCAAUGCCGAAAAUGCAGCUCACAGGUCUGAAAAGUUCGCCACCAUGGCGACCAGAACCAGACAGGAGUACUUGAAAGACUUAGCCACGGAUUACUCCUCCACCGCGGUUGUCGACACCGGGCAGAAGUUCUCGAUGCUGUCGUUCAGCAGCAAGAAGAAGAUCCAAGUACGUCCGCGCCUGUCGUGCGAUGCCUCGCAACGCGGGGCAAUUUGCUGGCAAGUCAUCCUGGAGGAUAGCAAUCAAAAUACUGACUGCUACCUCGGCAUCAGUAUCGACACCAUUGUCCUUAUCGAGGAGCAUUCCCGGCAAAUUGUCUUCGUGACUCCCUGCAUCAGCGUCCUCGGCUGGCACGCUCAAACCAACAGCUUACGGCUGUACUAUCACCAAGGAGAGUGCAUUACGAUCCACGUUAGAGGCGAUUACGGGGAGAGGGACGAGCUCAUGGAGAUCGUGGCACGACUUCGAGCCGUGACUCAAGGCUCGCCGGCAUCGGAGCUGUCGCUGAAGAGGAACGCUCUGGGACAGCUCGGAUUCCACGUGCAGCCUGAUGGAGUCGUGACCCAGGUUGAAAGUUUGGGCCUCUCUUGGCAGGCCGGUCUCAGACAGGGUUCUCGUCUCGUGGAGAUCUGCAAGGUCGCCGUCUCGACGCUGAGCCACGAUCAGAUGGUGGACCUCCUCAAGACCAGCGCCCAGGUCACCGUAACCGUGAUCCCGCCGACCAACGAUGGGAAUCCACGAAGAGGGUGCACCCUGCAGAACUGCCAGUACCUGUCGAAUAAUUACGAGGGCGAUUACGAGAACGUGACGAACCCGGACAGCACGCCUACCCAGCAGACGGCGAUGUCCCACCAGAGACGGUACGAAAGAUCGUUCAGCCCGCCGAGGUCGAGCAACAGUUCCGGAUACGGGACCGGGUCGAGUUCCCGAUCGUUCAACGAUCCACGGUUUCCCUUGGAGGGUACCAUGACCAGCAGCAGUAGCGGACACAGUAGUGCCGACGAUCGAUGGUACGAGCUCCUGGAGCCCCAGGACCAGGACUCCACCCAUCGACGGGAUGGGACGCCUCCACCUUUACCGGCGCGGCAGAAUUACCAAGCCGUGACGCCCAGCGGCAAGGGUGGAGUUGGUCAGAGAAAGGAAAAGGAAUCUCAUUACUCGGGUGCGGGGAUCGCGAAGCACUUCAACCACGAGCACUACGCCAAAGAGAACAACUGCGUAUCCUCUAGGCUGGGGGAAAGUGCCAGACAUGAGAGCUACCAUCAACGGUACGAGAACUCCCACCGUGCCCAGGAUCACGUAACGGCGAACUACGUGAAACUGCAGAAGGAGAAGUACGAGACGAAGCAGGAGAACUUGUACGCCUCGCAGAGGGAAUUGCACCGGAACGACGGGCAUGGUCAUCAGAAGCUCGCCGUUUCAAGUUCUCUACCUCUGGCCCAGAACCCUGGGUACAGUCUUCCUAAAUCCGGGAGCAACAACAACCUCAUCAGGUACGAGUUUGAGCAGGCUGCAAGCGAACGAUCCAAGCACGAGUAUGAGUCUGGGAAACCCGACCGGAAUUCUAAGUACGAGAUCUUCGAGGACAAGAUGGUCGAAGGACCGGGUAACAAGUACGAUAACGAGGUGAGGUCCCGCGAUAAAAGGAGUUACGAAGUGGAGGAGAGCUGUUACGAUCGGAGGAGCAAGUACGAGUCGGACGUGGAGUCCCAAAGGACGUCCGAGAGGAAGCACGAGGAAGGGGAUGCGAACAGGGACUCGGUUAGGUACGAGGUACCCCAGGAAUUCAAGGUCGGAGAGAAGGUAACGUGCCUGAAGACGAUCCUGACCGAGAGGCCGGCGCCGCACAAGGUCAGCAUCGAAUACAGGCCGAAGGAUUUCGCAUCGAGCUUGCCUCCCGAAGUCGCGAGGGUCGUGGAAAGCAAUUCCACAGAAGUUGCGACUUUGCCGAGCGAGGACGAACAGUCGAACGGGUCGGGAAACGUUUCUCCGAGGCUGAGGAGGGCGAACACCAAACACCGAGGAGGUAAUCUCACGCCAUCCAGCGGUAGCUCCAGGAAUCACAGCCCCAGGCCCAAACUGGGAGUCAGGAACUCCCACAGGAACUCUGCCAACCUGACCUCGAGCACUCUUCAAGAAGACCUCAUGAAGCUGAUCAACCCCGACUACAUUGCCGACGAGACGCAGGUGUCGAACAACAACGUGACCAACGUCCUGGGGAACAACCAGAAUUCCAACAAGCUGAACAAUAAUCUCAUCGAGAUACAGAACAGGUGCAGGUCUAGGGAGAAUCUGUGCGGCAACAGCACCUCCACCUUGAGCGUUCUGCCGACCAACGAGCAAGAGAACGGGAACACUGGGUCCGAGGUGAUCUUAACAAUGGCCAGACCUGCUACCGUCAUCUCCAAUGCGAGCACCGCUUCCAGCCCUGCACCCAGCGAGAAUAAAAUGUCCAAAGAGGAGAGGCUCUCUCCGCGCGUCACGAAGUCGCCGCACUGCGUCGCGAAGCCUCCCAGCAGCCUUGCCACGGUGAGGGACACGAAGCAUCAGACUGAGAAUGAUUCCGAAUGUUGGACGAGCCAUCACGGGGAUGCGAACAACCCCAGAGUCGGGAAGCACGGACAGGAUCGCCAGGACGAAAGACUCAACGACGGGUCGAACUCUAUAACGAAUGCCGUCUCGGACUUGCAGACGCAUUUGUCUACCUUGGAGCUAAGGGUAGCCAGGGAGACUCGCAGGCGCCUCUCGUUGGAGGACGAAGUGCGUAGACUAAGAGAUGAGAACCGGCGUUUACAGGACGAGAGUCACGCAGCUGCCCAGCAGCUGCGGCGCUUCACCGAGUGGUUUUUUCAGACCAUAGAUCAUCAAUAACUCGUUGCCUCGGAUGGCGAACGCGUUAAGUUGCGAGGUAACGGCGAGACAUGUAAUUGCUACGUUUUUUCCCUGUCCUCGUCUGUAUCGAAAUGACUACGUUCGUCUCUUUAUUUGCAAAGAGUCGCACGGUGUACCGCUGCUCGGCGGAAUCGGUGUCGCAAUGGCGUCUCCGCUGGCCCCAAGGAAUAUCGCGCGAUUAUCGGACCCCGUAAUCGAUAUGUAAAUGCAGUAUUAACGUCGCCCCUCGAGUAUCAUCUUUAAAGUGGUUUAAAGACGAUCCGCGUAGGCUUUCGUGAAGGAUUCGCCCUGUGACCUGUGCCCCGUAACCGCGAGUCGCGAAUUGGCCUAGAUCCUUUGUAACAUACGUUUUCAUUUUUACUAAGGAUAAGUGUAAUGUGUAAGUUACCAUCACGUCGUACUUUAUCCCGGAUGAAAAGGAAAAAGGAGGGAAAAAAAGAAAAGGAUCAUCUUAUCGCGCGCAUCGAAGCGGUCGCGUUCGGCCAACUUUUCGGGAGCCAUCUUGAUGGGUCGGACGGGACGAAUCUUAAGCGUUUAAUGUUAUGUUUUAAAGCGACCAAUGACCAAAUAUUACUGUUACACUGAGAGUUACUCCGUUUGCUCUGUAAUUUAUUACGUUUUCAUUAUUUCUUUUUUUUUUAUAACUACGAGGAUAUAUAUAUUAAGUGGAUAAUAUUCAGUUAACGUCGCGACACCUCGUGGUUAAACCGACAAACUUUCCGACUCUGCUUCGGUAAUCCGAGGGAAAACUCGGCAUUUCUAACCGUGCAGUUGAAUGGGAGAAAAAGAAAAGAGAGAGAGAUCGUUUCAUUACGAACAUUCGAGAUGCCCUCGACUUUUAGGAACGAUUCCCAAACCGGGACCCGGUAAAGAAAUUCUCGGUGACCGGCGAAGAUGCAGGAGCAUCUCGUUUACUGAUUAUUGGCCUUUAAACGCUUCUUGGGACGAUCUCGGGACGUCCCGUUAUAUGCAAAUGACCAGGCCAGGCGCGUCUCCGAAGGCUCAAGAGACCAGCGCCCGAAAGGGAGUGGAGGAGGAUGUAGCGUUUCACCGUGAAGUAGAAUAAAAAUAGUUUAUUGUAAUCCACAGAAAAAACAAGACAUUCUCUCGAUGUCUUAUACAACUCACUGUUCUGUCAGUUAACAAUUAACUGCAAUUACAUCCUACUCGAGACCACCGGGAAACUAAACGGAACGAAAGAUUUUAGGUUGCGAGCCCGAACCAGGUGGAUCGACGCGAAGGAUUCCUCGUCAGGGACGUUUCCCUCUCGCAUGCUUUUCCACUCCGAAAUUGCCAAAUCGAAUCAACGACAGUAAAUAGCCAAGACCGAAGCCGAACGUUCGUACCUCAUCCAGCGCGAUGUCCGCCCUAAACAACGCAUUCCUUCGCUUCUUUUUCUUUCCUUCUUUUCUUCCCAUCAAAGUGCCGCCAUCACCUACCGAAACGAUUCGUCGCCUUGAGAAGUACCUUUUACACAAGAUAAAAUGAGGUCCUAUAUUUAUACAAUGUACAAUAUACACUUAGCACCAGGAUCGGUUUAGGCGACGAGGAAUACACGUAAAGGUACAAUUUAAUCCAACAAUCGAGGUGCUAGAGCGCGCGCGCGGUCUCAUAAAAAUAAAUACAAUCCGUUAUAUAAUAUAUCCGAUAUUACAAAAGGACGCACUAUACAGAAUUUAUACAAUUAUUCCCGUCUACUUGGAACUUAUAAUUUACAAUUUAAACUGCAAUUUCGAGCCAACGUCGAGGCGAGCCGCGGGUAGACGUGACGUGUAAUAAGAUCUCGGAUAUAGAUUUACCUCUUGCCCGUAAUCACUGCUUCUGAAAUGGAAAUAAUCCGAACGAGUCCUCUUACUUGGAUAUAUUCUCUAGGAAAAAAAAAAAGCUCUAAUGCGCGCGUUGUAAUUCAUGCCCACGAAUAACUCGAAACUCCAUUACGCGUUACGUCUAUUCUUCGUUCCGUCACGAGAGAAGGAUUUACUUCCCGUCGAUCUUAAUCAUGAUCACCUUUACGGAGCACGCCGAACCUCCGGUAUACAACACUAUAAUUGCCCUCAAAGUCGGAAAUGGUUCCGUAUAUAAUUUUUCUUUUUUUUCCCCCUUCGAACCAGAAUCGAGUAUAUCUAUAUUACGCGUUCGAGUACGAAUAGACUGUCGUCGGGUGUUUAAAAGUUAACAUAAUUAUCGUUAUAACGUAUCACUGGUGCUACAGCUCGCAGCCAAGCCGUUUUUCUUUUUUCUCUUCGUCGUAAGUACAUUAAGUAUGUCCGCCUUACGGCGUAAAACGGUUUCCAUCAUUUUUUCAUCCUCCUCCUCCUUACAUCACUAGUAGCUUCUUACAUGUCUAGUUUUACAUAUGCCCCCAUGGAAGUUGGAUUUUCGAUUUGAUUAAAGGUGAUACGUGGAUUAUGCUCACCGGAUUAAGCACGAAGACUUGGAGCUAAACGUGUACGGAUAACAUCGAAUACGACGUCUCGAUCGUAAAGUAAUCUUAUCGUAACCAAUCGUACUUUUCGUGCUAAAUUGCAGAUCAAAGGAAAGCCGUUCCGAAUCGAGCAACCAAGCAGACGACUAAACGCACUGUUCAUCAGGAAACUACCGUGUAUAUUAGACGCGUUAUGCCGUACCAGGAAAGGCUCAUCGGGGUCGGAUCAACGAGAAAUGCCUUCUAAGGGGACUCACAGGGUCUGGAGAUUCUUGCCUUAAGGCCGAGUCUACCAACUUCAUCUAUGUACACUUCAAGAUCACCGAGAAAGGUAAGAGAAAAAUAUCAGAUCGAAGGGAAUGAAAAAAAAAAAGAAAAAAAAAGAUGCGAAUGGAGGGUAAUAUGUGAUGGAUAUCAUCCAUGGUGAUGAUCGCGAAGCCGAGGGUGUUAAGAAAAAAAAAAAGCAGUUUAUCAAUAAAAUAAAUUAAUGUCUCCACCAAGACGUAGAAAGGGUGGACCCAAACGCAAGUAAGCCCGCUUAACGACUAAAGCGGAAUUUACGAUCACUAAUAAUAUCGAUGCCCAAGAAACUAAGGCAAGGUAAUUCACAUCGGUCUCGUACACGUAAUCGCAACGUAUCGUCCGAAAAUAAAAAAAAAAUAAAAAUUAAUUUGCAUGUAAGGCAAUAUUUUGCAAUGCUCAAAUUCCAUUAAAAGUUCGCCCGACGCGAAAUUAAAUAGCGGACUGCAGAGUGUCGGUGACUCGUUAUUAAAUGAAAUACUGCUUCGUUAAUAUGACUGUCCGUAACAUUGUUAACACGGACACGUAAUGCCUCCGCGAUCGCGUGCAUUUAAUAACGACUCCGCGACGAAAAAUACUGAAAGUGACUAUUUCACCUCAAGCAAGAGCGUAAUUAUCUAGGUAAUAUUUUUACCUUUCAUUUAACAAGAGAGUUGCCACAACGUAACGGCUCGACUUUAAAAUAGAUUUAGUAAGUGACGAUAAAUAAUCGAUUCGUUCGUUAUUGCAAUGAUCAACUUAUAAAUUGCUCCUUCGAUUGAAGACCCUGUACCUUGAAUUAAUUCCGAGGCAUACAAGACUCUCGUCGAGCGAAAGGACCAUUCGCGUUUUCCGUAUAAAUAAAUAUACUAUAUAUCCUAUAAUUUGCAACUUAUAUAUAUACAAAUUUCAUGCGCGCGUAUAAAUUAUUAUCAUCAAAUAUAUAUAAUACAGGAGAAUGUGAGGUGUCUCGUUGGACGGGGGUCCUCGUUCUCGGAGUUAAUUCAAAGUUUGCGAUAUAUCCGCGUAGUCUUAAAGAAGUACUUGAAAAAAGUUAACAAUGCCUCUCGAACCGCACAAAUUUUUGCCUAAAUCUACAAGAUUUUCGCUUCGAAGCAGCCCAGAUCUGCCACCCAUAAACGAUCCUCGAAUACUGUUUGAAUACUAACAACGUCACUGUACAAUCCCAUAAGAAUGGUAAUAAAUUAGAGCAGCAUCACGAGGACGUUACAGUGAUAAAAUAUUUUUCUUCCAAUACUUAUUAUAAUACGGAGCGAUCUCAAUCGGGUGGCCACGAGGGUGUAUCGCGUCCCUUUAAAAAUGUUAUCCAGGUAAUUAUGCACAUCGGGCCGACGGAUAAAAAUAAAUUCGCGGUGAACAUCCGGAAAGCCAUUCGCUGGAACUUCCCACUUUCCGGAACAAUUUGCCAGGCGAACGUUACGUGGCGCUUACGUCGACACCGCCAAAAUGGCAAGACAAAGUUGUAGCUCGACGGACAUAUCCUGGGCCGACAUAAAUUAGUUAUCCAGGCCGCGACGAGGAUACGCAAGGGGAAAUAUCUGGCUCCACCAGUUUGACAUAUCCCAUCUAAUACGACACACAUCGUUUCUACGGUCGUUCGUUAAGACUAUCAUUAGUUAGAGGUGCUCGCGAGCGGAGAGAGAAGAAAACGUCACAGAAUUUGACAAGGAAUGGCGAACGAACCGAGCAAAAAAUUCACUCCUUUCCUGCCCGGCUCGUCCACGCCGUUACCGGUUACAAAUUUCCAUUACAACUCUCGGUACACGGGAGAAAAAGAAAAUCUAAAAGUCCCUCGACUUAAAGGAGAUUCAGCGCGUGGCAAGGGACAUUUGCAUACCACCAGCGAUAACGAGUGUACACGUAGUACCGAGAAUCAGUUUCAUCGGCAAGCGAGAAUUCUUCUCCAACUACUCGCUAAGUCCGCGCCUUCCAUUGUCGUUACGAUUAUCAACUACGACCUACUAAUAGUUUAUAGCGUAUAAUAUUGUAUAUAGUAUAUCUUCAGCAUCACAGUAAGAUAGCGCCCUUCAAUUGUUACGUGAAAUCCGUGUCGAUCUCGCCGCAGAUCCUCUUUUCUCAAUCUCAAUUCUCCUUUCCCUUCAUUAUAUUAAUUUCCAUCAACAAACCUACCCUACAACAACCCGUCUAACAUUAUCAAGACUUCGACACCCUAGUUAGGCGUAAUUUACGUACUGAGUACCGCAACAGCGGUUGGGACGACCUCGGAAUCCCGUCGAGGGAAUCGAACGGUUUUCACCAAUUGCAAUUCCCCGCUCGGUGCAUUAGUUUAGAAACUGAUCGGAGAGUUCGAUUAAAGAGUCUGCCGUUGAAAAAAAAAAAGAAAAAAAAGAAAAGGGAAGCGUCCAAUUCCGUCGACCCAAUUGCGAGGCCGUUCCAACUCCUGGUGCUCCGUUUGCAAAAACUCGUGAGGUAAUCAAUCGGGAGGGUGGGCUCGGGGGAGGAAAGGACUCAACGACCGCCCGAGGGAGGUAAUGGAGGUGUCUCUACGUGAGAGUCGUUAUCAAUUAAUUGGAUAAAACCGAAGGAGACUACAAGAGGGUCUCCCAUUGUCGGUCGUUCGCAAGUCCGCGACCAUUAUAAACAACGGCAAUCCCAAAGAGAGGAUUGACCCGGUUAGACCCGUUACUUCGUUAUCCUCUUAAGCGUGUUUCCGUAGGAUAAAAAAAAAAUAUAAAAUACAAAAGGAGAACAGAAAAGAUCUACCGCGGUUGGCUGACUAAUGUGAUGAAACCCAUAGAAAUUGAAAUCGAUCGUUACCCAUUGAUUCUCAGUCCGCGCGUGAGAGGAGGAAAAGCGUUCGCGUGGAGUAGCCAAAGGAAAUCAGGUAGGACCUAUAUAAAUACACGUUUAAGAAUUAAUCCGAACAAACAAAAUAAAUAGUUAUAAAAAUAAGCGAGCAUUUGAUGCUUAAGAUAUAUCUUAUCUAGAGAGAGAGAGAGAAAAAAAAAAAGACCCUAAUUAGUUUGCACCACCUACGGAGUGGAAUGUUUACGGUUUCACUUAACUAGAAUCGUAAAAGCGUCAUUUCUAAAACGAUAAGUUCAACUACCGUGCAUAGGGAAAGAGAAUCUAUCAACGAUUAUCUCGUGGAUCAAUAAAUAAGCAAGAGAGUGCAACAAGGGACGAUUCAGAUAAGCGUAGAAUCAUGGGCUGGGUCUGACUACGACUGCCAACAUUUACAAUUUGCAGAACAUACAUAAAAGGUACAUUGUCUCGAGCAAACGCUCGAUGCAAUUGAUUUUUCCCUCUAAUUUCUAGCAUCGAGAUUUCGCUACCGCGUCUUAACAAAAGUCUUGAAUGUCGAGAUAUAAAAAACGAUCAAAACGCUCAUCCGCGUCGAUUAAAUAAUCAUAAAUACAGGGCAUAAUUUAACGUCGUGAUAUCGACAAGGCAUAGAUAAAAAGAAUAAGAAAAAUACAUCGUUAAUUAAUAAUUACGCUCAUUUCCAAUCCAUCACGGUGAUUGCUCAUCUUUAACAAGUUGACACACCGAAAUUCGAGAUAGAGAACCCUACACUUAAGACACUCGAAAAUGCCCACGAUCUACGCCAUGAUUCAUAACUUAAAUACGAGAAAACCUUUUUGUACUCUUCUACAAACUUUACUUCGUACUUGUUUAACAUACUUCUAACGAUAAUAUCGCCUUACUAUGUCACCGAGACGUAGGCUUCAUCCUGGUCUAUACUGGGCACGUUGUAGGAUCGGAAGGUGGGCUAACGAAUCGAAUUAGCGAAGACCGUCCUGUGAGAUAGCAGUCAUUUGGAGACAUCGUUCCGUGCGAGCAACGUCAUUCCCUAUCCCCAACAAAGCAUUUCCUGCGCUCUGUAUAAAAUAAUACCGACUGUAGACUGAUCUUUGAAAUCUCGUUCAUACCCAAAAUAAAUAAGAUCGUAAACAGUUAUCACUGUUACGACUCGCUUCCCUGCAGGGUAUUUUCUAAAACAACGAAACAUUCAUAGAAAGCUCCACGCAAAAGCGUGGUGCCGUUAGCCCAUCUCCUUUUAUGUCAUAAUGCUCGCUCGAGUAGCACGUAGUAGUACGCAGUACUCGAGCGAGUUUACUCUGGUUCCAUUGUACCGUACGAACCGUACCAUCAAACGCGGUACAAUGGCGAACGACCAGCACCGGAGGGAAUAAAAAUUAAAACAGAUAGAACCUGACCCAUGCACUGCGGAGCCUUGCUCGUUCAACGCCUGUACUACUCAAGUGCGCAACCUUGAAUCGGGAAUAACCCUUGAAUUGGAACUUAGACCGCAUGCAGGGUACCGGCUCGUCCUCGAGAAAUGGAUCUUUUAUGGGAAC